CCUUGGAAGGUCCCUUGUUCUUUGACAGCCAAGACUUGACCCCGUCGACCCGGUCCUCCAGCUCUGAGUCCACAUCGGAGUCCCCCUCACUGUUGGGGCGAGGAGCAAAGAGCAGACCACACUGGGUGACAGACAGCCACUAAGAAGAUCCUGGAAGUGUGGAGGCACCACCCGUUCCUCCAGACAUGAGUGACAGGCUAGUCAGCUGGCCGACCAGAUGAACAUGGUAGGUGGGCCAUCUACUUCGCAAGUCUAGCCUAAUGGCGCUUGGUUAAAGAGAAGUCUUAGGGCUGACAAGAUGAUUCAGUGAGUAAUAGCACUCGCCACCAAGCCUGAGUUCAAUCCCUGGAAGCCAUAUAUAUGCUGUAGCACACCCAUAUCCACAUAUAUACAUAUAUCCACACAAUAUUGUUUGUAUUGCUGGGUAGUGGUGGCUCACACCUUUAAUCCCAGCACUCGGGAGGCAGAGGCAGGUGGAUCUCUGUGAGUUCAAGACCAGCCUGGUCUACAGAGUGAGUUCCAGGACAGCCAGGGCUACACAGAGAAACCCUGUCUGGAAAAACCAAAUAAAACAAAUAGGGGUGUGUGUGUGUGUGUGUGUGUGUGUGUGUGUGUGUGUGUGUGUGUGUGUGUGUGUUUUCCUGGGCCCUUCAGCUCCCCCUUGAGGCCCAUGUUGCUAUUUCUUGUUGAGAUGCCUCAGACUGUGGCUACGAUUACCACCAUUUUCUAUGUCUUCAUUACAAAAGCAGGGCUGCCAGUCAUCAUAGGACAGAGGCAGGACCUUCACAUGACUUCAGGCUAACUUGAAGGUCUCUUUAGCUGCUAACAAUACAAACCUAAGUUAAUGAAGCACCAGCCACAUCCUAGACCAGCUUGUGGUGUCCCUGGCUUUUAGAAACAGGAAAAAAAGGGGAGAAGAGCAGCACCUUCCCCGAGGGCCUGCUAGUGCUUUCAGGAUCUGGGCAGCUCCAGGAAGCCCAGUGGGCUCAGAGAGUCUUCAGGCAGGGCUCUGACUCUCCGGGCUCCUCAUCCCUCCCUCGGGCAGCCUCCAGCCCCUGCUCCCCACUGCUACUGCUGGACAGGCUGACCCCAGCACCUGCAAGAAAGUCUCAGAGUCUAAUUCUGAGGCUAGAGUCGGGGUGACCCCUCAUCAAGCAGUGGGGGCAUAGAGAUAAAUGCUUUGCAAAUUCUGCAAAAUGUCUGCUCUCUAAGAUCCCCUGCUCUGGAUAGGCUGAGAUUUCUUCUUGAUAUAAAUUUCCUUUCAUCUGUGUCAACAGGAGUGGCCUGGUCCUGAAUUAUGUUCUUGAAUAAAUAGUCACACAGGCAUAUGCAUGUAUACUUACACGCAUG